rnacentral:misc_RNA from 1 species
UGCAUUUCUCAUGAUAAUGGAAGAGGGAAUCCGAACGUUCAUGAAUUUUCUCAAGGCUGAUAAGCAGAAACCAUGCCAGAUUCUAACAUCUUUCUUUAGAAGAAACCUAAGGGGAUCAGUUGAUCCUGCUUUUCUCCAGCUAAUGAAAAAAGUUAACAAAAAAGUAAGCUAUAUGUUGUGUGAAAUCAAUUAAUACAGUAUCAUUUUUGUAAAAUAUAUUCUGAAUUAAUUUUUCUCUACAUACUGCGAUGAGCAGAAGAAAAUGAAGCUGAGAGAUCUACGCCGGGCUCGAAAAUGCAUUAGGAAAAGAAAAUUGAAGAUAGAGGAAGAGACAGAGAUAAUGAUGGGAUUAAUAGACUUGAAAG